rnacentral:rRNA from 1 species
UGGGGAAUAUUGGACAAUGGGCGAAAGCCUGAUCCAGCCAUGCCGCGUGUGUGAAGAAGGUCUUCGGAUUGUAAAGCACUUUAAGUUGGGAGGAAGGGCAGUAAGCGAAUACCUUGCUGUUUUGACGUUACCGACAGAAUAAGCACCGGCUAACACUGUGCCAGCAGCCGCGGUAAUACAGAGGGUGCAAGCGUUAAUCGGAAUUACUGGGCGUAAAGCGCGCGUAGGUGGUUCGUUAAGUUGAAUGUGAAAGCCCCGGGCUCAACCUGGGAACUGCAUCCAAAACUGGCGAGCUAGAGUAGGGCAGAGGGUGGUGGAAUUUCCUGUGUAGCGGUGAAAUGCGUAGAUAUAGGAAGGAACACCAGUGGCGAAGGCGACCACCUGGGCUCAUACUGACACUGAGGUGCGAAAGCGUGGGGAGCAAACAGG